UCUGUCAUAUUUUCCAAGAAAAUAUACUUACAAUUAUAAUUUAUUUUUUAUUUCAAUAUUUUAUUUAUCAAUUCUUAUUUUUCAUAUCAUAUUAAUCUAAAUUUAUACUUUUACAUAAGAAGUAAGUUCAUAUUUGAAAAAUAUUUUAUAAUUUUUAAAAUUGUUUAAGAACCUGAUAAUCUUUAAUAAUUUAUUUUAUGAGUGUGAUGGAAUUGUGCUGAGAAAAAUUAUGAAUUUAUUCCUGUAUUCCUUUAAUAAAAUAAAUUAUUUAUAAUAUAGAAAUGCUUUCUCAAAAGGGCACAAUUAUCGUAAGUAAUCCGAUUAGUGAUAUCACACAGACAAAAUUUUAUGACAUAAUAAGUUAACGAACAAGAAUCGUUGACCAUUAUCAAUAGGGUCAGAAAACUAUCAUAAUUUUCAUUACACAUGUAACCAUCUAUCUAAAUAUAUAUAACUUUAUCUAUAAAAACGUUAUAAAAUAUAAAAACUAAAAAUUGGAAAAAUUUAAUAUUUUUCAAAUGUUAUUACAUGUUAUCUUUUAUUUUUCAGAGAUAUUAAUGUAUAUUUUAAUUAUUAACGAUUGAAAAUUAUUUAACACUCUUUAUUCUUAUUUUGUACAUUUAUAGAAUCAAAAUGAAAUUUUGUCUAUUCGUAUAAUUGCGUUACAAAGCAAAAUAUUCGAAAAAAUAAAUAACAUAUGCAAUAAUUUAUUUUACUGUUCGUAUAAAUUUCUUUCAUUAUAUAUACGAAUACAUUACUUUGGUUAAUUAAAAAAUAUCGUUCAAAUUUAUUAAUUAAACAUUAUGCAGAAGCAGGUUCAGCAGAAGCAAGAUUAUUGGAAAACAGGUAUUGGAUAUUUACCAUAUUUAUCAAUAUUAAAUUAUAAAAUAAGUAUGAGGUCGAACGAUUGGCAAGAUUUAAUUAAUGAUCAAUUUAAUUAAAACAUUUUGGUAAAAGGUUUUUUGUUGCGAAUAUCAUGAAAUAAAAUUUUUCAUUCACUAUAUUUAUAAACUUACGAAACGUAAAAAUCGUGAAAAAUAAAAAAUUAUAUGAUAGAGUUAAUUACAGAUUUAAUUACUUAAUAACUGUAAACUAAAUAUAACUAUUAUAAUAAUAUAUUAUUAUUUCUACUACUAUUACCAUUUAAUAUUAAAUGUAUAAAAAGAAUGAUUUAUGUACUACUAUAUAAAUUACGAGACGAUAGAUUUUUGUCAUUUUCUUUUUACACAAAAAUUGAUUAAUAUAGUACAAUGUUUUUUUGAUUAAAAGAAAGUUAUAAAAUCUUACGUAACAGAAAUUUAUCACUUAUACUUGAAAUUAACGUGACACGUGAAAGUUGAAAUCGACGUGGCGCCAGAAGUUAAAAAUGCGACAGAAUGAGAAAGUGAUUCUUUGUAAUAAGUGAACACACAUGUUUGCCGCGGCCAUUAAUUGGACUACAAAAUUGCUUAUAGAGUAAUUAAGUUGAUGAUGUGUAAAAAAAAAUUUUAUUUGACACAGCAUAAUUUACGAUCCAAUGACAGGAAAGAGAUUUGAAUCGUUUAAUGUAUAAUUUAUAGGGAAUAUCAUACAUAAAUUUCCUGUAAAGUGAAUAGAAAAGGUUUAAUUAUAAAAUAUGGAAUUUUUAAAAAAUUUGUAAAAUAAAAUUUAAUAAUUUUUUAAUUUUUUAUAUUAAUAAAAUAACUUAUAAGAUUUAUAUUCAAAUAUAUAUGUCUAGAAAAUAUGUGCCUUCUCGAAUUUUUAUACAAAAGAAAUAUUAAUUUAUUCUUGGGAUAUCUUCGAAGGAUAGAUUCUAGAGAUUUAAUACGAAGACAAAGAUUGAUAUACAUAAAUAAGCAAUCGAAGUUUGCGUUAGAUAAAAAGAGACAAAGAUAGAACGACAUGGAGCGCCGCGGCGUGGCGCGCCGGUGUAACAGAAAUAAAACUUUAUCUUUAUUUGUAUCUAGAUAAUAUAUUAAUACCAUCCGUAUAUCCAUCCCUUGUGAUUAACGAUGUAAUGAGAUAACAAUGAAAAAAACAAGAUGCAAUUAGCUCAAGGAUCCAUCCAUAGAUUUCAAUGCAUACAAUUCUUCGACACAGUAUCGUAAACCUACUUCUCCUUUCAUCUUUCAAGCCUCAUUGCCGAUAAGGAUCAGAAGCAAUCGGUACAUCUACAACAGCAUGUAUCUAAGUGCUAUAACGCGGUAACACAGAACCACGUCUUUGCCUCGCGUCGAAACAUUUCAACGAAAUCGUGCAUCAUGCGAUAGUACCGUGAAGCUUGACUCAUUAUACAUAUAUUCGUGGUCCAUUAUAAUUUUCUAGUAAUUCAAUUUCAGAAUUUUGAAAAAUUUACGUGUUUUAUAGAAAAUUAUCCAUUGGAAUAGACCAAAUCAUAGAGAUAAGAUUCCUUUUUUGAUAUUCGUGAAUUAAAUUUUUAUAAUCUAAGUUUUAUCAAAAAAUUGUUCGAGAUAUUACGAACAAUAAACUGGAGAUCGAUUGAUCUUAUGGAUUAAUUAAUUUUUUCGUUCACAGCGUAAAUUCAUAUAACGAAAGCGUUUGUUUAAAUAAUAAAUGGCGGGCUAUGGAAUUCACAUAAUCAAGCAUCGACGAAAAUUUCGUUCCGAUAAAUGGAAUUUUAUGGUAUAGUAGGUAGUCGUGAUUUCGAGGGGUCAGUUUUCGCAUCGGUGGUAAAGAAGGCGAGCGGACAACAAGUUUUUCGCACGAGAGGGCUACCGUGCGGUUGCGUUACGCGAGCUGCCUCUCCGCUUCGUCCGGUUUGCCAACCAUGCAUUUACCCGUAUCGUUGCACGGCUACUUGGUUGACUGUAUAGACGCUGCCUUGGCCUUUAACGAUUCCUGGAACGAUCUCCACCAACGAUUUCUAUCGAUUCCGAUCUUCGUGAUACGCGCUGCCUAUGCCUUCAUCUUCUUUCCCCUCACAUUUUCUUCUUCUUUCUUUUUCCGCCUUCUAUCGCGAAUUUCAACAACAUUUCAUUCUAUCUUCUCAGAUAACUCGUUCCUUCCUUCCUUCUUUUGUAAACAAUGCCGGAGGCGGGAUGACAAGAUCGGGUAAUAAUAAAUAAAAUCUCGCUGGAUCUUCGGUCCAGAUAGAAUUUAUUAUAUUACAGUGUGGAAAAGGGCGUAUACGAUAAAUUGACGAAAUAUCGAGAGAUUCGUUAUCUAAUAGAUUAAGAUGAAUCGAAAAAAAAAUAUCAGCUGUGUAGUUUAUGAGAUUACUAUGUUUUGAAGAUAUUGAAAAAAUUUUAUUUACUCGAUAUUUUUUUCUUUCCUUUUUUUUAUUUUAAUUAAAAACAAGAUGCUAUAAAUAAACGAUAAAAUAUAUCGAUCGAAGAUCUAAUCAACCAGCAAUUUCUAUUUAACUGGACUAAUGGUACACCAUCCACCAUUUAGAUGAAUGCGUUUGUUCGCAAACUCGAGGAUAUCUGUACGAAUAGAUGUGAAAUUUGCAUGAAAAGAGACAGACAAUUUUCUCGAGUGGUUGAACCAGUGUAAAUAAAAGUGUUUGAUGCGCGGAAGCAAGGAACGAGCAACUGGAACAAAAAUCCAUGGUGGAAAGUUUCGAAAGUGUUCGUGAAGACGUGUCGGCCGAUGGUGAGAGAGCGAGGAAGAGGAGGAGAGGAAGAGAGACGUCUCGUUACCGCGAUUAAAGACAGGAUACGGUAACAAAAGAGAGGCAGGAAAGAAAAGGAAAAGUUAGCCAAGUGUCCAGCAGAUGUACAUACGUUCAUACGUGUAUAUAAGCAUUAUUAUUGGAGUGCACGAGGAAAGACACACGGGUGUACACGUGGUAAACAGAAGCCUGGUGCACACGGGGUCGGUUGCCCUUUCUUUCAUCAGGCCCGAGUCCUUCGUCUUUUCAGUGAACGGUGAACAACUCGGGGACAAAUCGCGUACGUCGAGGAUACGAAUACCGUUACACCGGUUAAAAAAAAAAGAGCAGACCUGACUGAGAAGAGAGGAGAAGGAUGGUUGAGAUGAGAGUGUGCCGGCUAAUAAGAAAAUGCCAUGCUGAAAAUGUCACACGCUGAGCAGCGUGACGUCACGCUACAACUCGUUUCUACUCGUUUUUAUGCUUCUGCUGUGUCGUCAAAACAUCGACUGAGAAACGAAAAUCCAAAAGGCGAAUCCAGAACUGUUUAUCAACAAUGUAAACGUAAAUCAUUUGCCCCACAUUUCUCGAAAUAUUUUGUACAAUCUAUUUGCAUGAUAUACAUUUUAAAAUUAAACGAUCGAUAUAUAUAUUAAAAUUAGUAUCUAUUUUUUUUUUUUUUAGUCUUUCAAACCGACUUAGAAGUUUUAAUAAAUUCGUAUCCUUUGUAAGAAAUAGAAAAAAAUUAUUUUAAAUUUUAGCAGAAUGUGAAUAUUAUAGUAAUAAUCAUAAAUUUCAUCUUUAAAAUACAUCGUAUUUAUGAUAUGUUACGUAAUAUAUAUAA